rnacentral:rRNA from 1 species
CGGACGGGUGAGUAAUGCUUGGGAAUCUAGCUUAUGGAGGGGGAUAACUACGGGAAACUGUAGCUAAUACCGCGUAAUAUCGAAAGAUUAAAGUGCGGGACCUUCGGGCCACAUGCCAUAGGAUGAGCCCAAGUGGGAUUAGGUAGUUGGUGAGGUAAAGGCUCACCAAGCCGACGAUCUCUAGCUGGUCUGAGAGGAUGACCAGCCACACUGGGACUGAGACACGGCCCAG